rnacentral:rRNA from 1 species
GGGAACUUCGGGCCGGCUGCCGGGGGAGUGCGUUGGUGGGAGUCGUUGUGCGGAUGUAUUGGGCGUAAAGCGCGGGCUGGCGGUCCUUUAAGUCUGAUGUGAAAGCCCACGGCUCAACCGGGGGGGGUCAUUGGAAACUGGGGGACUUGAGUGCAGAAGAGGAAAGCGGAAUUCCACGUGUAGCGGUGAAAUGCGUAGAGAUGUGGAGGAACACCAGUGGCGAAGGCGGCUUUCUGGUCUGUAACUGACGCUGAGGCGCGAAAGCGUGGGGAGCAAACAGGAUUAGAUACCCUUGUAGUC